AAAGGCAGAGGACGGAACAGGCAGCCGUCGCUCCUGACUUAAAUCAGGUCUUGUUAAGAGAUGUGGGAAUGUCACCCCACCUACUUUC
rnacentral:ncRNA from 1 species